GGGAACACCAACGCAAGGCUCCAAGGCCACGGGGGAAAUCCUUUGCAUAUUUUCCUAGGAAGUCCCUUAAGGCAUAGCCGUAGCAGAAGGAUUCCUGGUGCCGUCAACACGCCUAUUUCUGGCGCCAUUGGAAGGUCUUUUGUUGCAGUAGCAGAAGUAUUUCUGGCGCCAUUGCCGGGGAAGGAGAGAUCUAUCCAAGUAGGUCUCACAAACUCAUCUCUUGUAUUUACUUUUUUGCGAUUUGCCUCUCGUUUUCCUCUC
rnacentral:lncRNA from 1 species